ACGCUCGACACCUACGGGAGGCAGCAGUGAGGGAUAUUGGUCAAUGGGGGAAACCCUGAACCAGCAACGCCGCGUGAGGGAUGACGGUCUUCGGAUUGUAAACCUCUGUCCUCUGUGAAGAUAAUGACGGUAGCAGAGGAGGAAGCUCCGGCUAACUACGUGCCAGCAGCUGCGGUAAUCUGAGGCGGGCUGGCAAGGC
rnacentral:rRNA from 1 species